rnacentral:rRNA from 1 species
UACGUAGGGGGCAAGCGUUGUCCGGAUUUAUUGGGCGUAAAGAGCGUGUAGGCGGUUUGGUAGGUCCGCUGUGAAAACUCGAGGCUCAACCUCGAGACGCCGGUGGAAACCAUCAGACUAGAGUCCGGAAGAGGAGAGUGGAAUUCCUGGUGUAGCGGUGAAAUGCGCAGAUAUCAGGAGGAACACCGGUGGCGAAGGCGGGUCUCUGGGCAGUAACUGACGCUGAGGAGCGAAAGCGUGGGGAGCGAACAGG